AUCCAGCUGACGAGUCCCAAAUACGACGAAACACGCGUCUUGAAU
rfam:Schistosoma curassoni strain Dakar, Senegal genome assembly, scaffold: SCTD_scaffold0002474